CGGGGGGGGCAAGCGUUGUUCGGAAUUACUGGGCGUAAAGGGCUCGUAGGCGGCCAACUAAGUCAGACGUGAAAUCCCUCGGCUUAACCGGGGAAUUGCGUCUGAUACUGGAUGGCUGGAGUUUGGGAGAGGGAUGCGGAAUUCCAGGUGUAGCGGUGAAAUGCGUAGAUAUCUGGAGGAACACCGGUGGCGAAGGCGGCAUCCUGGACCAAUACUGACGCUGAGGAGCGAAAGCCAGGGGAGCAAACGGUAUUAGAUACCCCGGUAGUCCUGGCCCUAAACGAUGAAUGCUUGGUGUGGCGGGUAUCGAUCCCUGCCGUGCCGAAGCUAACGCAUUAAGCAUUCCGCCUGGGGAGUACGGUCGCAAGGCUG
rnacentral:rRNA from 1 species